rnacentral:siRNA from 1 species
AUAAUCGUUCUAGACCUGAAACCA